AUUGAACGCUGGCGGCAGGCCUAACACAUGCAAGUCGAACGGUAACAGGAAGAAGCUUGCUUCUUUGCUGACGAGUGGCGGACGGGUGAGUAAUGUCUGGGAAACUGCCUGAUGGAGGGGGAUAACUACUGGAAACGGUAGCUAAUACCGCAUAACGUCGCAAGACCAAAGAGGGGGACCUUCGGGCCUCUUGCCAUCGGAUGUGCCCAGAUGGGAUUAGCUAGUAGGUGGGGUAACGGCUCACCUAGGCGACGAUCCCUAGCUGGUCUGAGAGGAUGACCAGCCACACUGGAACUGGGACACGGUCCAGACUCCUACGGGAGGCAGCAGUGGGGAAUAUUGCACAAUGGGCGCAAGCCUGAUGCAGCCAUGCCGCGUGUAUGAAGAAGGCCUUCGGGCUGUAAAGUACUUUCAGCGGGGAGGAAGGGAGUAAAGUUAAUACCUUUGCUCAUUGACGUUACCCGCAGAAGAAGCACCGGCUAACUCCGUG
rnacentral:rRNA from 1 species